rnacentral:rRNA from 1 species
UACGUAGGUCCCAAGCGUUAUCCGGAAUUACUGGGCGUAAAGAGUCUGUAGCUGGUUCUGAAAGUCUACUUUCAAAUCCCCUCGGCUUAACCGAGGACAGGGGGGUGGAUACUACAGAUCUGGAAGUCUUCAGGGGUAAGUAGAAUUUCCGGUGGAGAGGUGAAAUUCGUUGAUAUCGGAAGGAAUGCCAAAAGCGAAAGCAGCUUACUAUGAAUAUCUUGACAGUGAGAGACGAAAGCUUGGGUAGCAAACGGG